AGCUUUGUGCAGUGGCAGUAUCAUAGCCGAGGUUUACCUGAGGCGCGGUUAUUGCUUAUUGAAAACUUUUCCCAAUGCCCCGCUAUGACGACUUGAAUAUAGUAGACAUUGGCAAUUUUUGACAGUCUCUGUGGAGA